CGAAGCUCCUAUCUUAAUCCUCGCUUGUUAUUAUGGAAGCCUGGAUCCAACUUUUGAAGGAUAAGAGAUUUCACAGAUCAUUGAUUACAAAGGCAAUAGCCAACACCAACACCCCAGACAUGAGAGGGAUGCUACCUUCGAUGCAGCCUCCCUGCCCGGCCCCAGUCAAGCCACCGAUGACUGCUACUACCUGAGCAAGCCCAGGUGAGG
rnacentral:lncRNA from 10 species